rnacentral:misc_RNA from 1 species
UAUUCUACACCCACUGCCACAACAGUUAUAACGUUGAAACUUCUACAGAAUGAAGAGAAUGCCAUUAUCGGAGAGAUUUAAGAAAUGGAGCCUUCAAUAGUUAAGUUAGUCUAGUAAUUAUAAAUAUUAGGAAAAGUUGAAUUUUGAGAAUGUUGUGUUAUGGAGAAAUGAAAUAUUUUUCCAGUAUAAAGGGAAUUGGACCGGUUAGGUAGAUCAAUUCAAUCGGAAAUUUAUACCUAAUUUAGUCUGAUUUAGAUAUUAAACCUCAUUACUAUUCCAAUGAAUUGAAUCUAUUCCAAUAAAUCAGACCAUUGAACCUCAACUACCAAAAAUAAAUAUGAGAGAGCCAGGAUUCAAUCCCUGGCACCACUUAAUGAAAUUUGCGUCGCACUGAUAAUGUAAUCCAUGGC